AAUGAUGUGAAGCACGCUCCCAAGAGUCCCACAAGAUACUUCAACUUGUCCAACCCCAUGAAGGUGACAAGAAGUUUUUAACAUACUUGGACCCUUCCACAAACAAGAAUACAACUUGGUAUCCUUAAGUUGUGGUUCACAUAACUUAAAUACAAGUGUGUCAAACAUGGAUGCACGAAUAUGAGCAACACCCCAAAGAGACAAUGACACAUUUGCCCUACGGUCCUCGAGUAGACACAAACCACCAUUAACAUCAAAGGGAUCACAAUUCAAGUCACCAUAUUUGUCAAGCACGGG
rnacentral:lncRNA from 1 species